GCUUACGGCCAUACCACCUGACGGGCCCGAUCUCGUCUGAUUCGGAAGCCAAGCAGGUCGGGCCUGUCAGUACUGGACGGGAGACCGCCUGGGAAUACCAGGUGCUGUAAGCU
rnacentral:rRNA from 1 species